GAUGAAGAACGUAGCGAAAUGCGAUAAGUAAUGUGAAUUGCAGAAUUCAGUGAAUCAUCGAAUCUUUGAACGCACAUUGCGCCCGCUAGUAUUCUGGCGGGCAUGCCUGUCCGAGCGUCAUUUCAACCCUCAAGCCCCCGGGCUUGGUGUUGGGGAUCGGCGAGCCUCCGCGCCCGCCGUCCCCUAAAUCUAGUGGCGGUCUCGCUGUAGCUUCCUCUGCGUAGUAGCACACCUCGCACUGGGAAACAGCGCGGCCACGCCGUUAAACCCCCAACUUCUGAACGUUUGACCUCGGAUCAGGUAGGAAUACCCGCUGAACUUAUGCAUAUCAAUAAGCGGAGGA
rnacentral:misc_RNA from 1 species